AGCGCAGGCGGGAAGACAAGUUGGAAGUGAAAUCUAUGGGCUCAACCCAUAAACUGCUUUCAAAACUGCUUUUCUUGAGUAGUGCAGAGGUAGGCGGAAUUCCCGGUGUAGCGGUGGAAUGCGUAGAUAUCGGGAGGAACACCAGUGGCGAAGGCGGCCUACUGGGCACCAACUGACGCUGAGGCUCGAAAGUGUGGGUAGCAAACA
rnacentral:rRNA from 1 species